rnacentral:rRNA from 1 species
UACGUAGGGGGCAAGCGUUGUCCGGAUUUAUUGGGCGUAAAGAGCUCGUAGGUGGUUCGGUAAGUCGGAUGUGAAAUCUCCAGGCUCAACCUGGAGGGGUCAUUCGAUACUGCUGUGACUAGAGUUCGGUAGGGGAGUGUGGAAUUCCUGGUGGAGCGGUGAAAUGCGUAGAUAUCAGGAGGAACACCAAUGGCGAAGGCAGCUCGCUGGGACGGUACUGACGCUGAGGCGCGAAAGCGUGGGGAGCAAACAGG